AUUCAGUGGCCAGGGGACUCAAAUUGUCAGAGAAGCCGGCACCUUCCAGCGGCCUCAAGAGAAAGUCCUCUGUUGCAUGAAUACAGGCCCUAAAAUUCUGACCACCAGUUAUUUUGGAUCAUAAACAACCAAAUGAACAGGAGCAACUGUGGCCUUGGUUACCUAUGAAGAUUACCUAAAACAUCAAGCUAAGCAGAAUAACUCCAAAAGGACCAUAAUUCAAGAGUUUCUGAUAUAGAAUUGAACUCUGUGAAUACUGAGGAGGAAAAAUGAAUCAAAAUAACUUUUUUAACAGGCUGCCUGAAGAAAUUACUUUACAGAUUUUCAUUCAGUUGGACAUUCAGAGUUUGUGCAGGGCUUCAAUGACAUGCAGGAGCUGGAAUGACACAAUAAGAAACAAUGACUUCUUAUGGAAACCUCAUUCCUUGGCUGUACGAGCUGUGUGCGAAAGAGAAGUAGAUGAUGAUCGAAAAAGCAGUUAUUCUUGGAGGGUAAGUUUAAUUUUUGUGGUCUGCAGUGUUAUUAAUAGCUAGAGG